rnacentral:rRNA from 1 species
UCCAGCAGCCAUGUCACCCCUCAACUCACAACUGGCAACCCACUGAAGCUAAGCAGGUGUGAGCCUGGUUGGUACCUGGAUGGGAGACCUCCUGGGAAAAACUGAGGUUGCUACUGGAA